rnacentral:rRNA from 1 species
GACGAACGCUGGCGGCGUGCCUAAUACAUGCAAGUCGAGCGGACUUUCAAGAAGCUUGCUUUUUGAAAGUUAGCGGCGGACGGGUGAAUAACACGUGGGCAACCUGCCUGUAAGACGGGGAUAACUCCGGGAAACCGGGGCUAAUACCGGAUAAUAUCUUUCUUCGCAUGAAGGAAGGUUGAAAGGCGGCGCAAGCUGCCGCUUGCAGAUGGGCCCGCGGGGCAUUAGCUAGUUGGUGAGGUAACGGCUCACCAAGGCGACGAUGCGUAGCCGACCUGAGAGGGUGAUCGGCCACACUGGGACUGAGACACGGCCCAGACUCCUACGGGAGGCAGCAGUAGGGAAUCUUCCGCAAUGGACGAAAGUCUGACGGAGCAACGCCGCGUGAGCGAAGAAGGUCUUCGGAUCGUAAAGCUCUGUUGUCAGGGAAGAACAAGUACCGUUCGAAUAGGGCGGUACCUUGACGGUACCUGACCAGAAAGCCACGGCUAACUACGUGCCAGCCGCCGCAGUAA